GAUGAACGCUGGCGGUAUGCUUAACACAUGCAAGUCGAACGGACUCUUCGGAGUUAGUGGCGGACGGGUGAGUAACGCGUGCGAGUCUGGCUUUGGGUUCGGGACAACCACUGGAAACGGUGGCUAAUACCGGAUGUGCCGAGAGGUAAAAGAGAAAUUGCCUGAAGAUGAGCUCGCGUCUGAUUAGCUAGUUGGUGAGGUAAAGGCUCACCAAGGCAGCGAUCAGUAGCUGGUCUGAGAGGAUGACCAGCCACACUGGGACUGAGACACGGCCCAGACUCCUACGGGAGGCAGCAGUGGGGAAUUUUCCGCAAUGGGCGAAAGCCUGACGGAGCAAUACCGCGUGAGGGAAGAAGGCUCUUGGGUUGUAAACCUCUUUUCUUAGGGAAGAACAAAAUGACGGUACCUAAGGAAUCAGCAUCGGCUAACUCCGUG
rnacentral:rRNA from 1 species